GUAGAGAGAGAGAACAUGAAUAGUAGGGUGGUAGAGAGAGAGAGACAUGAAUAGUAUUGGGUGGUAGAGAGAGAGAACAUGAAUAGUAUUGGGUGGUAGAGAGAGAGAGAGAACAUGAAUAGUAUUGGGUGGUAGAGAGGGAGAGAACAUGAAUAGUAUUAUGGUGGAGAGAGAGAACAUGAAUAGUAUUGGGUGGUAGAGAGAGAACAUGAAUAGUAUUGGGUGGUAGAGAGAGAACAUGAAUAGUAUUGGGUGGUAGAGAGAGAACAUGAAUAGUAUUGGGUGGUAGAGAGAGAGAACAUGAAUAGUAUUGGGUGGUAGAGAGAGAGAGAACAUGAAUAGUAUUGGGUGGUAGAGAGAGAGAGAGAACAUGAAUAGUAUUGGGUGGUAGAGAGAGA
ensembl:lncRNA